rnacentral:piRNA from 1 species
UCAGACUUGUACAUGACAGAGAAAUAAA